AUACGGAGGGUCCGAGCGUUAUCCGGAAUCAUAGGGUUUAAAGGGUCCGUAGGCGGGAAUCUAAGUCAGUGGUGAAAUCUUGCAGCUCAACUGUAAAAUUGCCAUUGAUACUGGAUUUCUUGAAUUAGUGUGAAGUGGUUAGAAUGUGUAGUGUAGCGGUGAAAUGCAUAGAUAUUACACAGAAUACCAAUUGCGAAGGCAGAUCACUAACACUAUAUUGACGCUAAGGGACGAAAGCGUGGGGAGCGAACAGGAUUAGAAACCCCAGUAGUCC
rnacentral:rRNA from 1 species